rnacentral:rRNA from 1 species
UGAGGAAUUUUGCGCAAUGGGGGAAACCCUGACGCAGCAACGCCGCGUGGGUGAUGAAGGCCUUUGGGUCGUAAAGCCCUGUCAAGUGGGAAGAACCCGCAUGGUGCGAAUAAUGCCAUGCGCUGACGGUACCACUGAAGGAAGCACCGGCUAACUCCGUGCCAGCAGCCGCGGUAAUACGGGGGGUGCGAGCGUUAUUCGGAAUCAUUGGGCGUAAAGGGCGCGUAGGCGGCUACCUAAGUCAGGCGUGAAAGCCCGGGGCUUAACCCCGGAAGUGCGUUUGAAACUGGGUGGCUUGAGUAUGGGAGAGGGAAGCGGAAUUCCUGGUGUAGAGGUGAAAUUCGUAGAUAUUAGGAGGAACACCAGUGGCGAAGGCGGCUUUCUGGUCUGGUCCUGACGCUGAGGAGCGAAAGCCAGGGGAGCGAACG